GACGGAAAUAGUGUGGGUUAUUGAUCCCUUAUGUAUCUCUGGAGGACUCGGAGGGAAGGAAAGCGCUUGAGACAAAGUCGUACAGUGCGAGCCUGUAAAUACAUCUACUCAGAAUGAUUCCUGCGUACUUCUACCACACUUGCCCAGAUGUGGAGAAUUCUGCAAUUGGCAGCUGGGAGUGAGAGCUGUGUGGAUUUCCUUUUUAAAAGAUCCUAGUUUGAA